rnacentral:tRNA from 1 species
UUCCUUGUCGUCUAAUGGUAGGACAUCAGAAUUUGACUCUGGUAAUUAUGGUUCGAGUCCAUACGAGGAAUCCA